AUUGAACGCUGGCGGCAGGCUUAACACAUGCAAGUCGAGCGAGCGGCGGACGGGUGAGUAAUGUCUGGGAAACUGCCUGCUGGAGGGGGAUAACUACUGGAAACGGUAGCUAAUACCGCAUACCAUCAGAUGUGCCCAGAUGGGAUUAGCUAGUAGGUGGGGUAAUGGCUCACCUAGGCGACGAUCCCUAGCUGGUCUGAGAGGAUGACCGUACACACUGGACCUGAGAUACUGUCCGGACUCCUACGGGAGGCAGCAGUGGGGAAGAUUGCAAAAAGGGCGCAAGCCUGAUACAGCCAUGCCGCGUGUGUGAAGGAGGCCUUCGGGUUGUAAAGCACUUUCAGCGAGGAGGCGUUACUCGCAGAAGAAGCACCGGCUAACUCCGUGCAAGCAGCCGCGGUAAUAC
rnacentral:rRNA from 1 species